UACAAAAAAUACUAAAGACUUAGGACACAAACCUUCGCGUACCGCAUUUAGUCUGAACCGGCCCUGGAUAGAGUGCGCUUUUUGUAUCUUUUCAGACCCCGCCGUUCAUUUCGUGUCUUGCUUGUGCAUUGUAUUCAUUUUCAAAAGUUCGAACUCGAAAGCACUGCCGCACCACCGCCACCGCCGCUGACGCCUGCCGCCUGUUGCCUUGUUCUUUUUUUGUUUUGCUUUUCUGUAAGCCGUGUGAAAGUGGUAGUGCAGUCGCAGGCAUCAGGUAGAGAGACACACACAAACGUGCAUACAUACAUGCAAGCUCAGAGAUCAGGAGAGAGCGCACGACGAUCAAGAGAGAGAUCAAGCAUACCCAGAGACGACUGAAAUACGUAAAAUAGUUAUGCAUGUACCACAAUCCCAUGUAGCGGAGCCGCGGCACAGACUCCGGACGCCGCUGGCUUUUGUCGGCUGCCCCUUGCCUCCCGCCCCCGCUACUGACGACGUUGUUGCCUUAGUCCAUGUUACAUUCAAUAUAAGGUACACAUGCUCAUGUGUUUGUGCAGCAUCCGCAUAUAGGUCCACAUUUAGCAAACGUCUCAAUGCAUAAGACAGCUUUGCCUUCAACAACAACAACAGCAACUGCGACGGCAAUCAACGCUGUGUCGUGGACGGACUGCCGCCCCACCACUGGAAAGGGUGUCCCCAUCAUCUCCCCCUCAACUUCUGCACUCCCCAAUCAACGGUCUUCGUGUGGAGCAGGCGCGCACGCGUGGAGCACGCUGAGCCAUCGGGGCGGCCCGUUGGUGGCUUUAAAACUUGCGGUCGCUUGAUGACCCAAGUGCCAGUUCUAUGAACAAAUUUGUUGCUUCAUGUAAUUUUACAUCUCAAUAUGUAUACAGUUAUGUAGAUUUCCAGAUCAUGUAGAACUGAGGGACACACCUUGGGAGGUGUUUUUGAGAAUAUUUUGUAUGCUUUAAUUUGAGUUUAAUUUUCAUGUUUGUUUAUUGUUGCAAUAUAUUUAAUGUUUAAAACUAAAUGUAGGCUUAGUUUAAUCCA